UGGGGAUGACGUCAAGUCCUCAUGGCCCUUAUAGGUGGGGCUACACACGUCAUACAAUGGCUGGUACAAAGGGUUGCCAACCCGCGAGGGGGAGCUAAUCCCAUAAAGCCAGUCGUAGUCCGGAUCGCAGUCUGCAACUCGACUGCGUGAAGUCGGAAUCGCUAGUAAUCGUGGAUCAGAAUGUCACGGUGAAUACGUUCCCGGGUCUUGUACACACCGCCCGUCACACCAUGGGAGCGGGUCUCGCCAGAAGUAGGUAGCCUAACCGUAAGGAGGGCGCUUACCACGGCGGGGU
rnacentral:rRNA from 1 species